CACGCCCUAAACAAUGGAUACUCGACGUUCGGAGGAAUCGAUCCCUCUGAGUGUCUAAGUUAACACAUUAAGUAUCCCGCCUGGGAAGUACGAUCGCAAGAUUAAAACUCAAAGAAAUUGACGGGGAUCCACACAAGCGGUGGAGCAUGUGGUUUAAUUCGUAACUAAGCGAAGAACCUUACCAAGGUUUGACAUUCUACUAACGUCCUAGAAACAGGAAAGUGCCCGAAAGGGAAAGUAGUAACAGGCGC
rnacentral:rRNA from 1 species